UCGAUAUCAAGAGUGAACGAGAGAUCUGGCUCCGCGACUUCACAGCAACCUGCCUUAGGCAAGGUGCUACGACCAGCAAGGGAAACCUUGGACGAUAUGA
rnacentral:ncRNA from 4 species